CACUCCUACGGGAGGCAGCAGUGGGGAAUAUUGGACAAUGGGCGCAAGCCUGAUCCAGCCAUGCCGCGUGAGUGACGAAGGCCCUAGGGUUGUAAAGCUCUUUUGUGCGGGAAGAUAAUGACGGUACCGCAAGAAUAAGCCCCGGCUAACUUCGUGCCAGCAGCCGCGGUAAUACGAAGGGGGCUAGCGUUGCUCGGAAUCACUGGGCGUAAAGGGUGCGUAGGCGGGUCUUUAAGUCAGGGGUGAAAUCCUGGAGCUCAACUCCAGAACUGCCUUUGAUACUGAAGAUCUUGAGUUCGGGAGAGGUGAGUGGAACUGCGAGUGUAGAGGUGAAAUUCGUAGAUAUUCGCAAGAACACCAGUGGCGAAGGCGGCUCACUGGCCCGAUACUGACGCUGAGGCACGAAAGCGUGGGGAGCAAACAGGAUUAGAAACCCUGGUAGUCCCAUGAU
rnacentral:rRNA from 1 species